rnacentral:lncRNA from 1 species
GAGCAGGCGCAUUAGGAAAUUGAUCGAGUACAAGAACCUUUCUGGGGUUAGGGUUUGGAGAGGCCAUUGUUGGAUAAGUUUGAAGUAAGGAGAAGUAAAAGAAGGUAAAGGAAUACUUGAUGAAAGUUGUUGAAGAAGAUGACAAAUAAAGUGUGAAUUAAAAGGUUAUAUGGAAACAACCUUCAAAUUAAGGGAUGCAAUGAUGGAAAGCCUCUAUUAAAGAUAACUAUCAC